rnacentral:lncRNA from 1 species
CCGAGGAGCUUCAGGCGGCGCGCUCGAGAUUGGUGGAAGUCCGUGUCGCUCCCGCCCCGCCUCCGGGCGCGGCGCGCGAUUGGCUGGCGUCCGCAAGGUCUCCUCUCGGGAUCGAGUCUGGGCGGCGCGGACCAGGCCCGGGGCGGCAGCAGAGGCGCCCGGCGGAGGUGGCUGUGGCGCGAGGCAGGUGAGCUCCUGGGUGGGGGUGGAGGGCCGGGGCCCGGCGAGGCCGGCUGCGGGCACAGGACUGGGGCCAAGGCGUCCCUCAACGCGGGCGGGAGCGGCGGGCAGGCGGCGACCGGCGCGGGCCGAGCCUCGGGCCCCGCCUGGGCGGCCAACGGCCGCCGCCCCCUCCUCAGCCCCGAGCGUCCCCGCACCUGGCCCGGGUUCGGAGCAGGCCUGGCCCGGGGCGUCCCCUCCGCCCGACGUCAGUGGCGUGCUGGGGUCCCGGCGGGGCGCUGGGGACGCGUGCGCGUCCGAAAGCCUCUGUCGCCGCCGCCCCCCGCCCGCCCCGGGUGCUCCCGCCCCCCGCCCCGGGUACACCCGGGCGACCCCCCCCCCCCACGUAUCGUGGAUCCCCGCUCCCGCCCACACACCUGGGCGAUCUGGCACCCUCGACCCCCCACACCCGUGCGCCCCCGACCCUCCUCACCCGCGCGCCCCCGACCCUCCUCACCCGCGUUGCCCCGACCCCAGCCCUCCCCCCACACACACCCCCGGGCGCUCCCGUACCCCGCCUCCCCCCGCACCCGCCUCAUUCGGGCGCCCCUUACCUCUGUCCCCCCUCUCACUCGUCCGGUUCCCGGCCUCGGGGUGCUCGGCCUCCCAGGAGUCCUGGGUUGGGUCGGGGGGCCGCCCUGCGUGUCCGGCUCGGGACGCCCCCCUUUUCCUGCUCUGCGGCCCGCAGACAGAACGCACCUGUGCUGCCGGGCGGGGCCGUCACCCCACGUCGCAGUCGCGAGCCCCAGGCCCGGUCCCCGGUCCCCGGCCGCAGGGAACAACCGCCAGGGAGCCCGGUUGCUGCCGCGCUGCCGCUGUUGGUGGGCAGGGCUCCCCAGCGCCCCCCUCGCUCGGCUGCGUGCCCGUGCCCCUAACCCCACGUCGGAAAGGCUCGGCUCGGCUCGUGGGCGUUUUCUGAGCUUCCGGGGCUGCUGCCCAGGUGGGAGCUGCCCUGGGGCCUGGGUUUACAAGCCGUUUGUGCCCCCGGACGCCUCGGCCCAGAACCUUGGGUUUGGGUUUGUUUUCAUGCAUUUCGGUUUAUACAGUUAUUCCAAGUCGGGAAACUCAUGA